UACGUAGGGGGCUAGCGUUGUCCGGAAUCAUUGGGCGUAAAGAGCGUGUAGGCGGCCCGGUAAGUCCGCUGUGAAAGUCGGGGGCUCAACCCUCGAAUGCCGGUGGAUACUGUCGGGCUAGAGUGCGGAAGAGGCGGGUGGAAUUCCGGGUGUAGUGGUGAAAUGCGCAGAUAUCAGGAAGAACACCCGUGGCUAAGGCGGUUCUCUAGUACGGUACUGACGCUGAGACGCGAAAGCGUGGGGAGCGAACAGG
rnacentral:rRNA from 1 species